UACGGAAGGCAGCAGUGGGGAAUAUUGCACAAUGGGCGCAAGCCUGAUGCAGCCAUGCCGCGUGUAUGAAGAAGGCCUUCGGGUUGUAAAGUACUUUCAGUCGUGAGGAAGGUGUUAAGGUUAAUAACCUUAGCAAUUGACGUUAGCGACAGAAGAAGCACCGGCUAACUCCGUGCCAGCAGCCGCGGUAAUACGGAGGGUGCGAGCGUUAAUCGGAAUUACUGGGCGUAAAGGGCACGCAGGCGGUUAAUUAAGUUGGAUGUGAAAUCCCCGGGACUUAACCUGGGAAUGGCAUUCAAGACUGGUUAGCUAGAGUCUUGUAGAGGGGGUAGAAUUCCAUGUGUAGCGGUGAAAUGCGUAGAGAUGUGGAGGAAUACCGGUGGCGAAGGCGGCCCCUGGGACAAAGACUGACGCUCAUGUGCGAAAGCGUGGGGAGCAAACAGGGAUUAGAUACC
rnacentral:rRNA from 1 species